UUUCUGCUGAGGAUGACCGGUCCGCCCUGUGGGUGUGCAUCUGGCUCAGCCUUGGCAUCUUCCUGAAGAACGUAGCUGCACUUGACUGUGUGGUGCGGUAUUUAGGACAUUUACUUUGAGGAAAUUAGAGUGUUUCAAGCAAGCGCACGCUUUGAAUACAUUAGCAUGGAAUAAUAAGAUAGGACCUCGGUUCUAUUUUGUUGGUUUCUAGAGCUGAGGUAAUGAUUGAUAGGGAUAGUUGGGGGCAUUCGUAUUUAACU
rnacentral:rRNA from 1 species